rnacentral:rRNA from 1 species
UGAAGCGGCAACAGCUCAAAUUUGAAAUCUGGCUUCGGCCCGAGUUGUAAUUUGUAGAGGAAGCUUUUGGUGAGGCACCUUCUGAGUCCCCUGGAACGGGGCGCCAUAGAGGGUGAGAGCCCCGUAUAGGUCGGAUGCCGAUCCAAUGUAAAGCUCCUUCGACGAGUCGAGUAGUUUGGGAAUGCUGCUCAAAAUGGGAGGUAAAUUUCUUCUAAAGCUAAAUACCGGCCAGAGACCGAUAGCGCACAAGUAGAGUGAUCGAAAGAUGAAAAGCACUUUGAAAAGAGGGUUAAAUAGCACGUGAAAUUGUUGAAAGGGAAGCGUUUGUGACCAGACUUGCGCCGUUCCGAUCAUCCGGUGUUCUCACCGGUGCACUCGGGGCGGCUCAGGCCAGCUAUCGGUUUUGGCGGGGGGAUAAAGGUCCGGGGAACGUAGCUCCUUCCGGGUAGUGUUAUAGCCCCGGGCGUAAUGCCCUCGCCGGGACCGAGGUUCGCGCAUC